GAUGAACGCUGGCGGCGUGCCUAAUACAUGCAAGUCGAGCGAACAGAUGAGGAGCUUGCUCCUCUGACGUUAGCGGCGGACGGGUGAGUAACACGUGGAUAACCUACCUAUAAGACUGGGAUAACUUCGGGAAACCGGAGCUAAUACCGGAUAAUAUAUUGAACCGCAUGGUUCAAUAGUGAAAGACGGUUUUGCUGUCACUUAUAGAUGGAUCCGCGCUGCAUUAGCUAGUUGGUAAGGUAACGGCUUACCAAGGCAACGAUGCUUAGCCGACCUGAGAGGGUGAUCGGCCACACUGGAACUGAGACACGGUCCAGACUCCUACGGGAGGCAGCAGUAGGGAAUCUUCCGCAAUGGGCGAAAGCCUGACGGAGCAACGCCGCGUGAGUGAUGAAGGUCUUCGGAUCGUAAAACUCUGUUAUUAGGGAAGAACAAAUGUGUAAGUAACUAUGCACGUCUUGACGGUACCUAAUCAGAAAGCCACGGCUAACUACGUG
rnacentral:rRNA from 1 species